rnacentral:Y_RNA from 1 species
GGCUGGUCUGGAGGCAGUGCGUUACCUCAAUUGGUAACUCACAGAGUCAAUUACAAAUAGAACUCCUGUUCUAUGCUUCCCUCUAACCCCUCCCCCCACUCACUACUGCACUUGACUAGACAGAG